rnacentral:sRNA from 1 species
GCACUGCUUCUCGACUAGGUCGUUGACCAGU